AACGCACAUUGCGCUCUCUGGUAUUCCGGGGAGCAUGCUCGUUUCAGAAUCAUCAAAUUCUCGAGGACCAACUCGGCUUUCUUUUGGAGGCCCGGGGGAUGUUUCUCGAAUUGUGGGCUUCUUUUUUUUUUGCCUGUUUGGGCGAGAAUGGCCUGAAAUAGAUAGCGUUUGCCACCCGAUUGUGGGAUCGGUCGUCACCAAGUGCAACAAGUUUUGUUAACUCUUGGUGGACCCUUGUGCAAUCGGGUGUUGGCGUGGGCGCUCCCCGAGCGGGGAAAAACAACCAAAACACUUGGUCUGAAAUCGAGCAAGAAAACCCGCUGAACUUAA
rnacentral:misc_RNA from 1 species